AGGACUGUGUUUGGAUGUCAUCCUAAAUACAUUCUGGAAUGCUGCAUUUUGAAACUGACUUAGUUUAAGAAUUCUAGUGUCUUCAUUAAAAUUUAACUGAAAAGAACUCAUAUUUGAUUAUUAUGUUCUUUUGAAAAGUUAUUUUUAAAGAAUUUUGUCCUAUUUGUAUGCUUGUUCCUUAUCAUUAAAUCCCUUCACUCUGCUGAAAUGCAUGCUUAGUGUUUUGGAUUGUGUAAUGAUUCAGUAAUUGGUACACAGGAGCCAUUUUUCAUUAUCACUAUCAAAGAUACUGAGUAAU
rnacentral:lncRNA from 1 species